GGAUUGUAGCUCAGUGGCAGAGCACUUGCCUUGCAUACGUGAGGUCCUGGGUUCGAUCCUCAGCACCA
rnacentral:tRNA from 1 species